rnacentral:rRNA from 1 species
AUUGACCGCUGGCGGCAGGCCUAACACAUGCAAGUCGAGCGGAUGAAGGGAGCUUGCUCCUGGAUUCAGCGGCGGACGGGUGAGUAAUGCCUAGGAAUCUGCCUGGUAGUGGGGGAUAACGUCCGGAAACGGGCGCUAAUACCGCAUACGUCCUGAGGGAGAAAGUGGGGGAUCUUCGGACCUCACGCUAUCAGAUGAGCCUAGGUCGGAUUAGCUAGUUGGUGGGGUAAAGGCCUACCAAGGCGACGAUCCGUAACUGGUCUGAGAGGAUGAUCAGUCACACUGGAACUGAGACACGGUCCAGACUCCUACGGGAGGCAGCAGUGGGGAAUAUUGGACAAUGGGCGAAAGCCUGAUCCAGCCAUGCCGCGUGUGUGAAGAAGGUCUUCGGAUUGUAAAGCACUUUAAGUUGGGAGGAAGGGCAGUAAGUUAAUACCUUGCUGUUUUGACGUUACCAACAGAAUAAGCACCGGCUAACUUCGUG